UACGAGGGGGCGAGCGUUGUUCGGAAUUAUUGGGCGUAAAGGGUGCGUAGGCGGUUCCGCAAGUCCUGUGUGAAAUCUUCGGGCUCAACUCGAAGUCUGCACGGGAAACUGCGGGGCUUGAGUGUGGGAGAGGUGAGUGGAAUUCCCGGUGUAGCGGUGAAAAUGCGUAGAUAUCGGGAGGAACACCUGUGGCGAAAGCGGCUCACUGGACCUA
rnacentral:rRNA from 1 species